CAGGUAAGGGUGAAAGGGUGAGGUAAGAGCUCACCAGUUCCGGCGGUGACGUCGGAAGCUCGGUAAACCCCAUCCGGAGCAAGGCCGAAUAGGGAAACGUUUGAGGGCGGUCCGUCCAAGGUUUCCGGGUUAGGCUGCUUGAGGCCGUCGGCAACGGCGGUCCUAGAUGAAUGAUCAUCGUCCCGGCGGGGGUAACCGCGUCGGGGAACAGGACCCGGCUUACGGACUUCUUUAACCA
rnacentral:RNase_P_RNA from 1 species